AUAACACUGACGUUCAUGCUCGAAAGCGUGGGUAGCAAACAGGAUUAGAUACCCUGGUAGUCCACGCCCUAAACGAUGUCAAUUAGCUGUUGGGCAACUUGAUUGCUUAGUAGCGUAGCUAACGCGUGAAAUUGACCGCCUGGGGAGUACGGUCGCAAGAUUAAAACUCAAAGGAAUUGACGGGGACCCGCACAAGCGGUGGAUGAUGUGGAUUAAUUCGAUGCAACGCGAAGAACCUUACCUGGUCUUGACAUGUACGGAAUCCUCCAGAGACGGAGGAGUGCCUUCGGGAGCCGUAACACAGGUGCUGCAUGGCUGUCGUCAGCUCGUGUCGUGAGAUGUUGGGUUAAGUCCCGCAACGAGCGCAACCCUUGUCAUUAGUUGCCAUCAUUAAGUUGGGCACUCUAAUGAGACUGCCGGUGACAAGCCGGAGGAAGGUGGGGAUGACGUCAAGUCCUCAUGGCCCUUAUGACCAGGGCUUCACACGUCAUACAAUGGUCGGUACAGAGGGUAGCCAAGCCGCGAGGCGGAGCCAAUCUCACAAAACCGAUCGUAGUCCGGAUUGCACUCUGCAACUCGAGUGCAUGAAGUCGGAAUCGCUAGUAAUCGCAGGUCAGCAUACUGCGGUGAAUACGUUCCCGGGUCUUGUACACACCGCCCGUCACACCAUGGGAGUGGGGGAUACCAGAAGUAGGUAGGGUAACCGCAAGGAGCCCGCUUACCACGGUAUGCUUCAUGACUGGGGUGAAGUCGUAACAAGGUAGCCGUAGGGGAACC
rnacentral:rRNA from 1 species